GAUGAACGCUGGCGGCGUGCCUAAUACAUGCAAGUCGAGCGAACAGAUGAGGAGCUUGCUCCUCUGGCGUUAGCGGCGGACGGGUGAGUAACACGUGGAUAACCUACCUAUAAGACUGGGAUAACUUCGGGAAACCGGAGCUAAUACCGGAUAAUAUAUUGAACCGCAUGGUUCAAUAGUGAAAGACGGUUUUGCUGUCACUUAUAGAUGGAUCCGCGCCGCAUUAGCUAGUUGGUAAGGUAACGGCUUACCAAGGCAACGAUGCGUAGCCGACCUGAGAGGGUGAUCGGCCACACUGGAACUGAGACACGGUCCAGACUCCUACGGGAGGCAGCAGUAGGGAAUCUUCCGCAAUGGGCGAAAGCCUGACGGAGCAACGCCGCGUGAGUGAUGAAGGUCUUCGGAUCGUAAAACUCUGUUAUUAGGGAAGAACAAAUGUGUAAGUAACUCUGCACGUCUUGACGGUACCUAAUCAGAAAGCAACGGCUAACUACGUG
rnacentral:rRNA from 1 species